CUCGCAUUUGAGCAUCAACAUAGGAAAAAGCAAUCCCAACAAAAACAAGACUGAUCCAAUUCCAUCUUCAAUAGACAACAAGGUACUCUCUCUCAGAAGAGCACUUUGUUUAGAUGAUCAAGAUUCACAUUAGAUUGGAUGUAGAUAAAACUUAUGUGAAUACUUGGUUGUGCAUGUACAACUAUUCCAACACAAGUAUACGACGUCCUCUUGUUCAUUAAUGAGGUUCAUGUGCAGAGGUUUUUGGUUUUUUAGGUGAUGAAAAUCAUGUAGAAACCUGGAUGUAUAGCGUGAAGCAUUGGGUCCCAUCUAAAGAACUCCAAAAUGCAAAGGUCUUGAAUGGACUAGUAUCAGGGUGGACAGUAGGGGUGGAUCAACAGUGGCAGUGAUGGAAAUGGAGAAGGAUUUGAACCGUCGAAUGUUUGGGAUUGUUUAUAGCCACAAGAGCCGGAGGUUGACAACUGGAAUUGCUGGGGCAAACGCUGCUUCUGCGGGCUUGAAAGAUCAGAUGUAUGGAAUUCCAUUCAUUCUGAAAUAGAGGAGGAAGACAGUGAAGACAACAAGGGAAAAUUUAAAA